rnacentral:rRNA from 1 species
AUACGGAGGGUGCAAGCGUUGCUCGGAAUUACUGGGCGUAAAGCGACCGCAGGCGGUUUGUCAGGUCGGAUGUGAAAGCCCGGGGCUCAACCCCGGAACUGCAUUCGAAACCGGCAGACUUGAAUACGGGAGAGGAGGGCGGAAUUCCUGGUGUAGAGGUGAAAUUCGUAGAUAUCAGGAGGAACGUUCGUGGCGAAGGCGGCUCUCUGGCCCGAUAUUGACGCUCAUGGUCGAAAGCGUGGGGAGCGAACAGGAUUAGAUACCCUGGUAGUCCACGCCGUAAACGAUGAAUGCUAUCUGACGGAGGUCUAUACCCAUUCGUUGGAGAAGCUAACGCAUUAAGCAUUCCGCCUGGGGACUACGGCCGCAAGGCUAAA